rnacentral:rRNA from 1 species
CACGUAGGGUGCGAGCGUUGUCCGGAAUUAUUGGGCGUAAAGAGCUCGUAGGCGGUGUGUCGCGUCGGCCGUGAAAACCUGCAGCUUAACUGUGGGCUUGCGGUCGAUACGGGCAUCACUGGAGUUCGGCAGGGGAGACUGGAAUUCCUGGUGUAGCGGUGAAAUGCGCAGAUAUCAGGAGGAACACCGGUGGCGAAGGCGGGUCUCUGGGACGGUACUGACGCUGAGACGCGAAAGCGUGGGGAGCAAACAGG